UCGGGCUUGGGUAAAAUUUUAGGCCCAUUUUUCGAACCAGGCCAGGCUCAAGCCUAACAAACGUGUAUAAAUUUUUAGUUGAGCCCAGCCCGGCUCGACCCAUGCGCACAUCUAAUCAUAAGUGAUCUCUUUUUUCUUUUUCUUUUUCUUUUUCUUUUUCUUCACUGCUUUGUUUAUAAAUUAAUAUUAAAUGUUCAUGUCAUAGAAACGUAAGUUUAAAUCUUAAGGAUUAAGAAAUUUUGGCACUAUUGAAUUAAUAUCAUAUACUUUGGUAAAAUUACCAUCGGGAUCCUUAUAUUAGAAGUCAUAUUACAUUUUGCCUCCUCUAACAAAAAAUAGACAAAUUAGUCCAUUUACG
rnacentral:lncRNA from 1 species